rnacentral:lncRNA from 10 species
AACACUCUGUGAAGCCGUGGUCUUCUUGCGCGGGAUAGGGCACCUGAGGAAGCGGGCUGCGCCUGUGGCACAGUGGUACGGGGCCGGAAGAUAACUUACCUGAAGAGGCGAUCAAUCCCUGAGAAUCGCGGGCGACCCGUUUUUUGUGUGCCCGGGUGCGGGGUGCCGGGACACGGCGUUGAAGGCGCUGAGCGGAGGGAUCUCAGGGCGAGCUCGAGCGGCGACGGCGCGCUCUGUGAUUGCACCGCGAGCGCCUGAGGUGAUCUCGGCCUACAUCGCGUCAGCGGGGCCUUGGGCGUGAGCACCGCCCCCUGUCCGGACGCAGGGUACUGGGGCACCUCGAACUGUGGCACCUCACCCUUCUCCGGGGCCACGUCUUGGGGACUCCGACAGCCCCAAAUAAGCCCUCGGGGACUGGGGUUGUGAAAAGCGAGGUCGUGAAGACGCCGGCCUCAUACCGAAGGGUAGGACGGUGAGGUCAGCCCCGUCCCACUCCAACUAAAAUCAACCUGACAGGUAUUAAUAUGCCACCAUGAAGUUAACAAAUGUUGGUGAUUAAGUAUGCUAGGUUUUACGAAAACAGAUUUUCCAAAAUAAAUGUACAUGUUUUAGGACGUCGCGAGCCGUUUGAGGCAGCAUUCCCCAAGGACGCCACUUAGUCUGUAGGUUUAGCGGCUAGAAAGAUUCAGAAGCUGAGUUCAGUCCUGCCGCCACAAUCAAUCUUCGCUCCUAUGGCUUCACAGAAGCGUCUCCCAUGACUACCAAAUUUAACUCCUUCCAGAUCACCCACGGGAGCACCUGACCGGAUUCAUUUAUUUAAUCAAUGUUAAGAACUAGGUUUUGUGCUAAGCUAGGGGAUAGAGCAGCGAAUGAGACAAAACUGCAAGGCCCUGGGGGAAUUAGUAGGAAUAUCCAGUGAAAGGGAAAUUAAUGAAUUUUAUAAGUAUACUAAUCAAGAAGUAUAUUCUUUUCCUUUGAGGUAGAAUGUAAUAUAGCACCUCCCCUACCCAAGGCCUGGGUUAAGAGUAUAUUAACUGCUUAUUUCUCCCCUAUGCGUGGAGAGGCUUAUCUGUGUUCCAUCGUUUCACAUUCCUUGAGGCACAGCGAGUUCUUGCUUCCCUCCCUAGCGCUGCUGUAAAGUCACAAAACUGAUUAGCAAGUGUUACAAAAGCAUGUAUUCCCAAGGACGUAAGACAUAUGGUGUUCGCGGUGGCUCACGCCUGUAAUCCCUGCACUUUGGGAGGCCGAGGCGGGAGGAUCACCUGAGGUCAAGAGUUCGAGACCAGCCUCACCAACAUGAUGAAACCUCGUCUCUACUAAAAAUACAAAAUAUUAGCCGGACGUGGUGGCAGACGCCUUUAAUCCCAGCUACUCGGGAGGCUGAGGCAGGAGAAUCACUUGAACCUGGGAGGCAAAGGUUGCAGUGAGCCGAGAUUGCGUCACUGUACUCCAGCCUGGGCAACAAGAGCAAAACUCUGUCUCAAAAAAAAAAAAAAAAAAAAGAAAGAAACUGUGAUAUAUAUAAAUAUAUAUUUAUAUAUUUAUAUAUGGAAUGGAAUGCUACGUGGUCACAAAAAGGAAUGAAUGAAUGGCAUUUUCAGCAACCUGGAUGGGAUUGAAGACUAUUAUUCUAAGUGAAGUAACUCAGGAAUGGAAAACAAAACAUCAUAUGUUCUCACUCCUAAGUGAGAGCUAAGCUAUGAGGAUGCAAAGGCAUAAGAAUGACACAAUGGACUAUGGGGACUCAGGGAAAGGGUGGAAGGGGGUGAGGGAUAAAAGAUUACAAAUUGGGUUCAGUGUAUACUACUCGGCGAUGGUUGCACCAAAAUCUCACAAAUCACCACUAAAGAACUUACUCAUGUAACCAAAUACCACAUUUCUUAAAACCCUAUGGAAAUAAAAAAUUAAAAAAGAAAAAAGAACCCAACAGUCUUCUAUUAAGCCAGGUGUAAAAGAGAUUUACAAAAAUCUAAAACUAUGCCAUUCUUCUCACUAAUAUUUUAUUUUUGAAAAUAUAGCUAUAGGCCGGGUGCGGUGGCUUACUCCUGUAAUCCCACCACUUUGGGAGGCCCUGGUGGGUAGAUCACAAGUUCAGGAGUUUGAGACCAGCCUGACCAACAUGGUGAAACACCAUCUCUACUAAAAAUACAAAAAUUAGCCAGGCAUGGUGGCGCGUGCCUGUAAUCCCAGCUACUCAGGAGGCUGAGGCAGGAGAAUCGCUUGAACUCGC